rnacentral:lncRNA from 1 species
UUUUGAUAAGGCAAGGAGAAGGGAAGGAGCUCGAGCGGCGGAGGAGAGGAAGCGAUUUCUUAUGUUCAUGGCGAUUCCGGGCUAUUCCACCGCCCGAUUUCGAUUUCUCCUCCCUUUUCUAUUCGAUCCCCGCUGCCGCGGUUGGUUGUCCUUGUCUCUCGCGUUUCCCUGUGUUGUGGCUAUGUAGUUCCGGAUCUAGGUAAGUUUUGGAUCCGUGGUUCAUCUGUUAUUGGUGUUGUCCGUGGAUCCGUGGUAGGUGCAUGUUGCUGCCGUGUUUGUUUCUAGUCCGCCAUGCCUAGCGCUCCAUUUCCCAUCCUUCUGCCCGCCUGAGUUGUGUAGGAGCUUGUUGUAUGUGGGGAGUUCUAAUCCAUCUCCUUGUUGUGGUCCUUUUCUCCCCUGCUUGUAGAUGUAGAGGUAGGCGUAGGUUGUUUAUUCUGAUGUAGAUGUAGAGGUAGGCGAAGUUAUAGUUGCAGCGGUGGAUUCGCCCUAUCAAUUUUAUUUCUGCUGGCCUGGGUGUCUGUUCCUUUGUCGUUAGAUGUAGUUGCAGAUGGUCUAGCAUGGGUUUCUGCCUGCUUCUGCAGUUUACUUGUAGUUGCUGUUAGCUGCUGAUGUUUGCUGUUGUAAUCCCUGGAAUUCAAUAUGAUUUUUUUUGUUAGAUGUAGGUGUUCAUUUCACCCGGUACCUGAAUCUCUCUGAAUUUGUGUGUACUAGGCUGCAGUGUUGUUGUAGUGUUAGUCCAGGAAUCUCUCUGAAUUUCAUGCUUCUUUACGGUGUAUUUUUACUCCAGACUUGAAGUGUAACUUACCCCUAGAAUUACAGUGUAUCCCCAUCCAGAAUUACUGUGUAAUUUAACUCAUAAUUACAGUGUAACUUGCCCCAUAAUUGCAGUGCAUUUACAGUGUAGCCUGAUGCUUCUUUAUUUGUUGUUACUCUGUAAUUUGUCCUAGUAGUACUGUGUAUUUCCCCCCUAAUUACAGUGUAAUCCUGAUGCUUCUUUCUUCAGUGUAAAUUUUGCUAUAAUUACUGUGUAACAUGUCGUAGAAUUACACUGUAGGUUACCCUGCAAUUACAGUGCAAUAUACCGUGAUUACCGUGUGUUUUUUGUGCUUCUUUAUUUGUAAUUACUGUGUAAUUUUCCCUAGAGUUACUGUGUAAUAUUUUCCCCCGUUACCGUGUAAUUCUCAUGCUUCUUUCAGUGUAAAUUGCAGUGUAUAUUUUUCAGUGUAAUACUGCGCCAGUUUCUUUGUUAUUUACAUUGUAAUUUUUCUCAGAUGUUUUGCAUGCAUUCAUGUAGUUUUGCACUGUAAUAUCCCCCAUUCUUACUAUAUAAUUUAUCUUCAGUUUUUGGCAGUGUACUUCCUCUACCUUUUCAUUGUAAGUUGCCCUAAUUAUUGUGUAUUUUGACUCAGAGUUUCACUGUAUUUAGGUUGGUUUUUACACUGUAUUUUAAGUGAUUCUUGCACUGUAUUAAUAUGCCCCAUUAUUCUAUAAUUCCCCUGAUUGCUGCCUUUCAGUGUAUUUGUUGUGAGAUUUCCCUUGUAAUUGAGCCCCAUUACUCUAUAAUUUUCAACUUUCUUUAAUUUCUUUUUUUUUCGUGUGUCAUGUAUUCUGUUUUGUUAGGUUUAGGUCAAUGGGGAGACUACGGAAAGUCUCUCACAAGGAUGUUUCGGUAGUUUCUUCUAUCGUGAGUGCUGAUUCUUGGAAUGAUCAUUUUGUGCCUAAUGACUUUGCGGAAGAUGGUUCUAAUGCUAUGUCUUUGGUAGUUAUUUCUGUCUUGUUCUCUACUUUCAUUUUCGUUUUUAUUCUUUCUUUCAGUUUAUUAAUUUUUUUUGUUUGUUGACUGAAUUGUUUUUCAGGAUCUUUCUAGUGAUGAUAGAGGGUUUGAUAAAGCUAUUUUUCAAGAAUUUCAUUGCAAUCCCCAUGCUUCCUUUUUGUAAUUGCAGUGUAAUAUACCCUAGAAUUGCAGUGUAAUUUAGCCCAGAUUUUAGUGUAAUCCCAAUGCUUCAUUUUUUUAAUUACAGUGUAAUUUUCCUAGAAUUGCAGUGUAAACUCCAUGCUUCAUUUAUGUAAUUACAGUGUAAUUUUCCCCAUAAUUACAGUUUAAACUUCAUGCUUUAUUUAUGUAAUUAUAGUGUAAUUAUUCCCCGAAUUGCAGUGUAAUUUUUCCUAGAACUUCAGUGUAAAUUUCAUUUUUUUUCUAAACAAAGUAGUGUAAUUUUCCUGCUGAACCUCUAUUACUUGAUAUUUGAGCUUCAUUCUUGUUCAGCUUUGCUUGAAUUACAGUGGAUUUUAACUCUGUUUAGGGCGAUUAUCCUGUGUAGUUCCUUGGUUAUUAUCAUUGUAAUCCACUAGUGUGAUUAUUCAUUUCCUUCACUGUCCAUGUGUACGAGCACUGUAACAAGCUCUGCUUUUCAUUGUCAAUAUUAAUGCCUUCAUCUGAUAGGACUUGUGUUCUUUAUGCUGAUAGGUAUGUCUUUGUAUUCAUGACUUCGUCUGAACUUGCAUGUAUCUCUGUAAUCCACUGAGUUCAUGUUAGUUACAUUGCCCUGUAUCGCAGCAAAGAUUUUUUCAUGUGUACUACAGCAAAGUUUUUUUCAUGUAAUUUCCCCAUGGUUCAUGCUACCUACAUUGCCCUAUACUGCAGCAAAGUUUUUUUCAUGUGUACCUUACACUGGAAUUCGUGUUGGUGUAGUGUUUUGACAGUGAAAUAUUAACAGUUUUACCUUCUGACAGUUAGAAUUUCCCCCCUGAUGAUUCCCACAUUUUCACUAGAUUGUAUGAUGUUUUUUUUUCUACAGGCUAGUUCAUGUAGGAUGUGUAUCUAGAGCAGCGGGGUGAGGAAAAACACGGAAGAGUUCAAUAGAAGUGUGAUCAAAAGGAGUAGGACAUUACGUGAGCUGUGGACCGUCUCUUGGUUGAUCUUCCUCUGCCCUCCACCAAUUAUUCGGAUCUGUUCUUCCCCCUUGCUUCUCUCCAGGUACUUGCCCCUCUGAUGUGCCUCUCUGACUUGUUGUUGUUCUUCCUUCUUCUCACUCCCUCUCUCCCAUGACGUCUCUCUGAUGUUUUUCUACUCUUUCUUCUCCUCAUUUCCCCUAUCCCAUGGCGCCUCCCAGAUGACUUGUGUGAUGCAAGUUAAAGGAGGGUCCUGGGAGACGCCAGUAUUCUGCUGAUUUUUGUUCCUUUUCUUCGUCAGGUGAUUUGUUGUCCAGGAAAGGAAAAAAGAGCAUGGGCAACGGUCCAGGUGGGUUUCGUGAUAGUUGCCUUGUUUUGUUUUGGUUAUUAGUUAGAACCGGGUCAGAUUUUAGCCGCCCGACCCAUUUUUUUGGAAAUACAAGCAUACAAUUGUCCAUGGUAUUUGGACAUAGGUGUCAGCGCUUGAUUUGUCAGGAAAUUUGACUAUAAUAUAGUGCUUUUUACCUUUGUAUUGGAUGACUUUCUUCGUUAUUUAACUUGUUUACCCCUAACCCGGGUCUGAUGUUCACCCCUGACCCGUUUAGGCGUUCUUUUUUGCUUUAUGUUGAUUUUCCUGCUCAUACAGGUGUAAUGUGUUGAUUGGUCAGGAAAUUUGACUGUUUUUGAAUUGAAAAACAGUCAAAUGUCAAAUAGACAGUCCCUAGAUAUAAGAUAUAAGAUUGACUAUUGUCCUAGCAAAGUAAACAUUUUAUACUUUCAUAUGGCUUUCCAACAAGGAGAAUCAGAGAACCUGGCCUUAAUAGCGGCUACAAUAUUGUUCCAAAAGUAUUUAACACGACAAAUUUUUAUGCCACAAGCCUUGUUUUGUUUCUAGUUUCCACCACCAUUUUACCAAAAGGCUAAUAUUUUGCUGGCGCCAAUCUUUAAUAUGUAAACCACCAAUUUUGUCAGACUGAUAAAUUCUAGCCUACUUAACCAUUUGAUUAGCUCUUUUCUUCUUCCACUUUUGCCAGAAGAAAUGCCUUUUUUUGCAUAACCAUUUUUUAAAUAAAGGUAUUAUUCAGAAGGAACAUAGACAUAAAAUAGGAAGGAAUCAAGUCUUAUUGAACAAUUUGGAUCCAUGAAAUCCCAGUCAAUGUUCUUGAAACCAGUGCUACUAAUCGAAUAAGCUCACUGCUACUAGUCAACUGAGAGGCAUGGCGGCAAAAUGUUAUGAUCGUGUUUUAGUCAUGCAUGUUUCAUGUUAACUUGUAUUUCCACUGUGUAACAUGGGAGUACCCAGAGCUCUAGUACGCC